rnacentral:lncRNA from 1 species
CUUUGUCACUGCUCCAUGCUCUGUGAUGCAGGCCUGGAACAUUCUAGAAUACAGCACACAUCUCAGUGCCCUGUUGUCUGAGGCAGUAGUGAGCUUCAGGCCUCAGAUGAUGGACACCUAUCUCCUUUCUGAGGAGAGUGAGUGAGCCACGGGUCAUCAAUUCCAUCAUUUACUUCCUGUGUGUGGCUAGGCUCCUCCUUCUGUCAUCCUUCUUCCAAAACGGAGCCAUUUGCUACCAGUCUUCAGAAUAAAGGAGACAUCAACCAGGGAAUCUAAAAACUUAUAUCCCAUGCCUUUUCUGGGAAAGUUACUACAGAUGUGCUUCAGAAAAAUGAUGAAGAAAAUGAAGAGAAGAGCCUCGAGGACUGUGAGGAAACAAAUUUCUGGUGUUUAAGCGGCCCAGUCUGUGACACUUUGUUAUGGCGGCCCGAGCAGACUAAUACAACUGGGAAAGAGGUCACAGGUACAAGGGUAGAGGAGAUUAGAGGAGUGAGAACACAGCAGGGGACAAGACCAGAGUAAGAGACUGAUGAUGGGGCUAAUACAAAAUGAAGUGACCAGGUUUAAGGACCUGAAGGAAAGCAGCAACGAUGGUGACGGAGAGAAAGAGACGGAUGUGAGAGACACUGUCAACAAAUCAAAUGGGAUGUGUAAGAGGGUGGAUGUAUUGAAUGAGCAUGAUGGUUGGGACACAGAGGAGUCCCGUUACAUCAAGAGAUGGAUAACAGUCAGUGCACAAGUAGUGCUUGGACUUCCCCAAGAGGCUGGAGAGCAGAGCAGUCCCAGAAAUAACUUGGUACCCUGCUCGGCACCACCAGAGGCGAGGACACUGGGGAACACACAGUGUGAGCUACUUGCCGAGAUGCUGCUGCUGGUGACUAGCAGAGCGAGAUUCAACAUGCUGUCUGGCUCCAGAGCCACACUCCUGAACCACUAAACUGUGCUGCCAAAAAUGUCACGGCGCCUGGAGAACGCGUCUCAGUCAAGUAAAACUAGAUUCUGGAAGAAUAACCACUCACCUCCACAGGGCCCUUUGCCUGUGGCUUCCAUGUGCCCUUUGUUUACAUCUUCUCACUUGCUGCUCAGAACGUGAUGAGGCCGUGAGGCUCAGAGCGGGAAGGGGCUGGCGUGAGGACCACAGCUGGAAGGGCAGAGGCAGGUCUGAGUCCAGACCAAAUCAAGGACCAUUCUUGUCCUCUAAUUUUUCAUGGGGAAACUGAGGCCAGGAGGGGUUAAACGAAUUACAUUGCCCCUCCAUCCAGUGGGUUUCGUUCACGGCUGGGUCUAAUCUGUCCUCAGUCAGGGCCUGUGUCUGGACUGAAUGGUCAGAGGCCACUCAACUCUUUAGACUCUUUGGUGAAGUGUGGGACCUUGGUUGCCCUUGUGCUGGUGACAGGAGGUUACCAGGUACCCAGGAACCCAGGCAGGUGCAGGAGGAGGAAGAAAGGACAACAGGGAGAUGUGUGCAGCACAGGGUGAGCAAGGCAGAGGCCUCUGUGCAUUUGCCGCCCGGUAGGGGACGACCUGUCAGCCCCUGACCUUCAGGGACAGCCCACAACAGCCUUGGCAUCAAGGUGUCAGUUGGACUGCGCCCCAUUCUGGUAUUCAGGGUCCUCUUCCAAGCUCAAGUGGUGGCUGGUGGCAGAAUUCAGUUCCUUGGGAGACCAGAAUUGAGGGCCCUAUUUUCUUGCUGGCUAUUAGCCAGAGACUAGAGGUCACCUUCAGGUCCUUACCACAGGCCUCUCCAUAGGCCCUCUCACAAUAUAUCAAUUUUCAUUUCAAGACCAGUAGAAGAAAUUUAUUUCAGUUUUUGAACUUGUUCCUUCAGGGAGGGCCCAGCCCCUUUUAAGGACUCAAGUGAUUCUGUCAGGCCCCCCCAAAUAAUCUUUUGAUCAAAUUAGUGACCUUAACUACAUCUGGAAAAUCCUUUCUCCUUAUAACAUAAUCAUGGAAGUGAUAUCCCAUCAUAUUCAUGAGUCCCUCUCACACUCACAGGGAGGGAAUUAUAUAGAACAUGUACCCCAGGGAGUCAGGAAUCUGGGCGCCAUGUUAGAAUUCUGCUUAUCACAUCAGAUGAUGCUAUCGAUUCUGGUCCAGGGACCUCAUUUGAGAACCACUACUUUAACAGAGCUACUAAAUAAAUAUGAACAUUUAUGUGACU